AGAGGUGGCAAGCGUUGUUCGGAUUCAUUGGGUGUAAAGGGCAGGUAGGUGGUCGGGUAAGUCUGAUGUGAAAUCCCAUGGCUCAACCGUGGAACUGCACUGGAAACUGCCUGACUUGAGUACCGGAGAGGUGAAGGGAAUUCUCGGUGUAAGGGUGAAAUCUGUAGAUAUCGAGAGGAACACCAGUGGCGAAGGCGCUUCACUGGCCGGUUACUGACACUGAGCUGCGAAAGCAAGGGGAGCAAACAGGAUUAGAUACCCUGGUAGUCCUUGCCGUAAACGAUGUGGAUUAGGUAUCAGGGGUGUCGAUCCCUCUGGCGCCGAAGCUAACGCAUUAAAUCCACCACCUGGGGAGUACGGUCGCAAGACUG
rnacentral:rRNA from 1 species